rnacentral:pre_miRNA from 1 species
AGGUUUUCGAACCCGUGCAGCGAUUUCGUCAGAUACCAACCCAUUAGGUCUGAUCAAACUUUCAAGAUAAAUGAAUUU